rnacentral:rRNA from 1 species
GGGUUGUGAGGUUAAGCGACUAAGCGUACACGGUGGAUGCCCUGGCAGUCAGAGGCGAUGAAGGACGUGCUAAUCUGCGAAAAGCGUCGGUAAGGUGAUAUGAACCGUUAUAACCGGCGAUGUCCGAAUGGGGAAACCCAGUGCAAUUCGUUGCACUAUCGUUAACUGAAUACAUAGGUUAACGAGGCGAACCGGGGGAACUGAAACAUCUAAGUACCCCGAGGAAAAGAAAUCAACCGAGAUUCCCCCAGUAGCGGCGAGCGAACGGGGAGCAGCCCAGAGUCUGAAUCAGCUUGUGUGUUAGUGGAACGGUCUGGAAAGUCCGACGGUACAGGGUGAUAGUCCCGUACACCAAAAUGCACAGGCUGUGAACUCGAAGAGUAGGGCGGGACACGUGGUAUCCUGUCUGAAUAUGGGGGGACCAUCCUCCAAGGCUAAAUACUCCUGACUGACCGAUAGUGAACCAGUACCGUGAGGGAAAGGCGAAAAGAACCCCGGCGAGGGGAGUGAAAAAGAACCUGAAACCGUGUACGUACAAGCAGUGGGAGCACCUUCGGGUGUGACUGCGUACCUUUUGUAUAAUGGGUCAGCGACUUAUAUUCUGUAGCAAGGUUAACCGUAUAGGGGAGCCGCAGGGAAACCGAGUCUUAACUGGGCGUUAAGUUGCAGGGUAUAGACCCGAAACCCGGUGAUCUAGCCAUGGGCAGGUUGAAGGUUGGGUAACACUAACUGGAGGACCGAACCGACUAAUGUUGAAAAAUUAGCGGAUGACUUGUGGCUGGGGGUGAAAGGCCAAUCAAACCGGGAGAUAGCUGGUUCUCCCCGAAAGCUAUUUAGGUAGCGCCUCGUGAACUCAUCUUCGGGGGUAGAGCACUGUUUCGGCUAGGGGGUCAUCCCGACUUACCAACCCGAUGCAAACUACGAAUACCGAAGAAUGUUAUCACGGGAGACACACGGCGGGUGCUAACGUCCGUCGUGAAGAGGGAAACAACCCAGACCGCCAGCUAAGGUCCCAAAGUCAUGGUUAAGUGGGAAACGAUGUGGGAAGGCACAGACAGCCAGGAUGUUGGCUUAGAAGCAGCCAUCAUUUAAAGAAAGCGUAAUAGCUCACUGGUCGAGUCGGCCUGCGCGGAAGAUGUAACGGGGCUAAACCAUGCACCGAAGCUGCGGCAGCGACACUAUGUGUUGUUGGGUAGGGGAGCGUUCUGUAAGCCUGCGAAGGUGUGCUGUGAGGCAUGCUGGAGGUAUCAGAAGUGCGAAUGCUGACAUAAGUAACGAUAAAGCGGGUGAAAAGCCCGCUCGCCGGAAGACCAAGGGUUCCUGUCCAACGUUAAUCGGGGCAGGGUGAGUCGACCCCUAAGGCGAGGCCGAAAGGCGUAGUCGAUGGGAAACAGGUUAAUAUUCCUGUACUUGGUGUUACUGCGAAGGGGGGACGGAGAAGGCUAUGUUAGCCGGGCGACGGUUGUCCCGGUUUAAGCAUGUAGGCUGAUUGUCCAGGCAAAUCCGGAUAAUCAAGGCUGAGGUGUGAUGACGAGGCACUACGGUGCUGAAGUAACAAAUGCCCUGCUUCCAGGAAAAGCCUCUAAGCAUCAGGUAACAUCAAAUCGUACCCCAAACCGACACAGGUGGUCAGGUAGAGAAUACCAAGGCGCUUGAGAGAACUCGGGUGAAGGAACUAGGCAAAAUGGUGCCGUAACUUCGGGAGAAGGCACGCUGGUGUGUAGGUGAAGUCCCUGCGGAUGGAGCUGAGACCAGUCGAAGAUACCAGCUGGCUGCAACUGUUUAUUAAAAACACAGCACUGUGCAAACACGAAAGUGGACGUAUACGGUGUGACGCCUGCCCGGUGCCGGAAGGUUAAUUGAUGGGGUUAUCCGUAAGGAGAAGCUCUUGAUCGAAGCCCCGGUAAACGGCGGCCGUAACUAUAACGGUCCUAAGGUAGCGAAAUUCCUUGUCGGGUAAGUUCCGACCUGCACGAAUGGCGUAAUGAUGGCCAGGCUGUCUCCACCCGAGACUCAGUGAAAUUGAACUCGCUGUGAAGAUGCAGUGUACCCGCGGCAAGACGGAAAGACCCCGUGAACCUUUACUAUAGCUUGACACUGAACAUUGAGCCUUGAUGUGUAGGAUAGGUGGGAGGCUUUGAAGCGUGGACGCCAGUCUGCGUGGAGCCAACCUUGAAAUACCACCCUUUAAUGUUUGAUGUUCUAACGUUGGCCCCUGACCGGGGUUGCGGACAGUGUCUGGUGGGUAGUUUGACUGGGGCGGUCUCCUCCCAAAGCGUAACGGAGGAGCACGAAGGUUAGCUAAUCCUGGUCGGACAUCAGGAGGUUAGUGCAAUGGCAUAAGCUAGCUUGACUGCGAGCGUGACGGCGCGAGCAGGUGCGAAAGCAGGUCAUAGUGAUCCGGUGGUUCUGAAUGGAAGGGCCAUCGCUCAACGGAUAAAAGGUACUCCGGGGAUAACAGGCUGAUACCGCCCAAGAGUUCAUAUCGACGGCGGUGUUUGGCACCUCGAUGUCGGCUCAUCACAUCCUGGGGCUGAAGUAGGUCCCAAGGGUAUGGCUGUUCGCCAUUUAAAGUGGUACGCGAGCUGGGUUUAGAACGUCGUGAGACAGUUCGGUCCCUAUCUGCCGUGGGCGCUGGAGAAUUGAGGGGGGCUGCUCCUAGUACGAGAGGACCGGAGUGGACGCAUCACUGGUGUUCGGGUUGUCAUGCCAAUGGCACUGCCCGGUAGCUAAAUGCGGAAGAGAUAAGUGCUGAAAGCAUCUAAGCACGAAACUUGCCCCGAGAUGAGUUCUCCCUGAGACUUUAAGUCUCCUGAAGGAACGUUGAAGACGACGACGUUGAUAGGCCGGGUGUGUAAGCGCAGCGAUGCGUUGAGCUAACCGGUACUAAUGAACCGUGAGGCUUAACCUUACAACGCCGAAG